AGCGAGAGAAAGCGUGCAAUAGAGGGAGACCGUACCCACUGUAGCAUCAGUGUGUGACAGCUGGUGCCUGAUAACACUGAUAUUGAGCUCCUUCAGUGGAGAACUUGCUGAGCUACCCUUUUUUCAUUUGCAAGAGGAUGCCAGCUCUAAGCCAGUGCAACUGAUGACAGACUGGAUCUUGGAAUAGUUCGUUUCACUUACAAUUACAUCUCUCAUGUUCUGCUUCUCUGAAGAAAGGCUUAUUACGGAAGACAAAAAUUCACUCUCUCCCUUUACCUCACAUAUUAUUGAUGAUAUACAGAGUUUGAUCUUCCAGUGAAAGCUACUGAAUUAUCAGGAUUUUGGUGUCUUCGGUGGAGGCUUGCAAGACUGUUCAGUGGAAAACAUAUUUCUAAGGCCUUGGCUAGUCAUCAAGCUACAAAACAAAUUCAAGACAAGAAGACAAAAAGGCAGCUGAAGUAGUAAUUCUCCUGAAGAAUUAAGACACCGGUGUCUGAG